CAGCCAUAUUGGUGUGUUGUAUCGCUGCCCUCUCAGUAAUUUCGAAGAUCAGUGAGCGUAUAGCCCAUCAUGACGGAUUCUAUGAAAUUUGGUCCAGAAUGGUUGCGCAAUCUGUCAGCAGACAAUUGCAAUAAUAGCGGAGGCGGUGGAGGUACUACAAGUUUAACCGCCCCGCGUUAUCAAUUAGCCGAACAUCGAUACGGACGUGAAGAAAUGUUGAUUUUGUUCGAUCGUAAUUGCAAGCCACCGGAGCCGUUGACAAAUUUUUCGACGUUGUAUGUCGAGAAAUCUCAGCUUCCUUUGGCUCUUAUACAGAUGACAGAAGAUGAAACGCGAAUGUGGAAUGGCGGAAUAACUCAUGUUACCGGUCAAGGCAGGGGUGGAAGCGUGGAUCGCGGGGGGCGUGGGAGGAAUGGAAGAGGAGGCUUGUAUUCGUCCCAUUAUCCUCGAGGGGUUGGUUUCGACGAUGCAGCCGAUGGUAGAAGAAUCGACAGUCAACCAUUUCCAGGACGAAACCGCCCGUUCGAUAGAUCUCAAAGCGAACGUGGGUGGUCGGAAAGGAACGGGGCCUCAGACCCGGGUGAAUGGAACGGUUCUACAAGUCCGAGGAAAGAAUUGGCUCGCGGUGCAAGCGGUAGCGUCGUGGAGGGUAAUUGGCGGCGUCAUCGUGGCGGUGGCACAGAGGACGACGAUGGCUGGCGUAAAUGGGGUAGAAGCAGUUGGCGUGAAGGGGGGAGUAUGGAUCGGGAUCGAUUAGAUCGAAACGAGGGAGACGGUGAAGAAGGUCGGAGCAGCGGCGGGAGAUGGGAGCAUCGUGGAAGUCACAGAGGUUCACACGACCCGAGUCACCAUCCUCCUUCACGUACUGCUCGUACAUGGGAGUCGAAUCACCACGAUAACAAUCACGACAACCUUCCUGAAUGGGCCACCGAAAAUCCCAGCGAGAGCGGAGGAAGCUUCGACGCUUCCGGUGCGUUCCACGGUGGGAUGUAUUCGGACGACGACGAGGACGGGGUGGUUAGUGCGGGUGGUACCCAAGAAUCGAGGACUCGACGUGUAUCCGAGGGGAGUGCUGUUAGUACAACGAAACACGGCGGCAGACCAUUGUCCUAUAACGCGACGCAGGGGCAGCCGGUGAGUCGCGGCACCAGCAAUUCGACUAGUACAAUCAACAAGGAUAGACCGAAGCCGUUGCAUCCGAUCAACGUCAAAGAGGACCACGUCGUCGAGAAGGAGAGGAGAAGCAGUUCACCGCCCUCGACGAAACCGCCGGGCAUCGUGACGUCGUCGGAUAGCAGCACGCCCGCCAAGACGCCGCCAGCGUCGUCCGAAAGCUCGCAGAAGAGAACGAGCGCGGCAACAAGUACGGAACAAAUCGAGAUUGGCAAAGUAAAAUCGCACGACACGAGGAAUAACAAGUCUCCCAGUAAAGUACAGGCUAGGGAGGAGGUUCAGACGGAGGCGAAGGUGGACAAGAUACCCCCGACGGUCGCGAAGAGACAGCAACCGUUGCAAACGGAACCGAAGAAGGGAGUCGUGCACGGUACGGGAACGGAGGACGUCAGGCAGAAAGGCGACGACGAUUUGGACCGUAUGAAGGAGGAGGCGGACGCGUUAGUCGCGAAAUUGAUGGCCGACGAAGAGAGCCACAGGGAGAAAACUACCGCCGGUGUACCGCCAUCUAUUGGUAACCAACCUUCCACAGUCCCAUCCACGAAUGGACAGGAGAAAUGGUUUUACCGUGAUCCACAGGGUGAAGUUCAAGGUCCGUUCUUAGCAAGCGAAAUGGCGGAAUGGUGUAAAUCCGGUUACUUCACCGCCAGAUUGAUGGUAAGGCGAACCUGCGACGAGCGGUACACCACGUUAGGGGAGCUGAUGAAGAUUAGUGGUAGAAUACCAUUUACCCCGGGGCCUCCUAUUCCUCCCUUGAAGUUAACGGACCAGGUGAUUCCUCCUGCUCCGAACGCAGUACCUGCCGGCUUGACCCCCUUGCCAAAAUCUGGUAUAGAAAAUCCGCUUCUUUUGCUUCAAUACCAGCACAUGAAGUUGCUGCAGAAUCAACAGAUGCUUCUCAGGCAACUGCGAACGUCGGCCAUAGCGAAGCUCUCGCAGUCCGAACAUUGGGCGACCCUGAGUCCUGUCGAGCAGAAUCAGUUGAUUUAUCAGUACAUGAUCCAAGACUCUGAGAUUCCGGACGUUCCACCGAUGUCCUCCAAUCCGUUUGUACCUCACCUGCCGUCGCAGACUAUGAACCCUGUCAUGCAGCUGUUCUCGCAGAUGCAACAGGCUAAAUCUCCGCAAGAUACUCAUCUAACGUCGAAUCCUCAUUCCACCACAGCGAGCCAUCCUCCCACAAUGGAUCCUAUACAACAACUGAUUCAACAGAUGGGUGGAAUACAAAAUAUACCGGGGAUGCAACAAACGAAUAUCAAUUCAACGCCGCCCGCGACGCAAGAAGACAAUCCCAUAAAAUCGUUGUUACGGCAGCUGAAUGUUAACGCGAACGGCCAUCCACAAGCGCCUCAUAUGGACACCGUUUGGCCCCAGCCGCCGCCGCAAAUAAAUCCACAGUUUAAUGCACAGAAUUGGCUGGCACAGGUCGGACCGAUACCAGCGGUACCUCCUGGCCAAAUGCCUAGUUCGUUGUGGGAUUUACAAGCUAAAGAAAUAAAGACUGAGCAGCAGAUACUGGAGGAACAGAACCUUAGGUUACAAGAGGACAGAAAGAAAGAGGAGCUGAAGAAACAGGAGGAGUUCCAGCGGCAGGCCGAGGAGGAGAUCGCGAAGAGGAAAAAAGAGGAGCAGGCCAGACUGGCCGAGGAGGAGAUCGCGAAGAGGAAAAAAGAGGAGCAGGCCAAACUGGCCGAGGAAGCGAAACGGAAGGAUGAGGAGAAAAAGAGGAAGGAUGAAGAGAAACGUAAGCAGGAGGAAGAACGAAAGAAGAAAGAAGAGAAGAAACGUAAGGAGGAGGAGAAGAAACGGGAAGAGAAGAGACGGCAGGAGGAGGAGAAUUUGAGAAAGAAACAGGAGGAGGAGAAACGGAAGAAAGAGGAGUUGAAGAAGCAAGAGGAGAAGCAAAAGAAGGAGGAAGAGAAGAGGAAAAAAUUGGAGGAGGAACAACGGAAACAGGAGGAAGAAAGAAUGCGGAAAGAAGCAGAGGCCCGUAAACAGGCGGAAGCUGAAGAGCAGGCUCGCCGGGCAGAACAGAGGCGGAGGGAGGCGGAAGCACUACGAAAGUUGCAGGAAAGAAGUAAAGCACCUUGGGCGCAGGCACCUCGUACGCCAGCGCCCGCCAUUCCAGCUGCUUCGCUCGCUGAGAUCCAGAAACUCGAGCGAGAGAAGAAAGCUGAGGAACAACGGUUUCAACAGAUGAUGCAACAGCAACUGGCACAGCAGAAGGCCAUCGAGACAGCCCAGGAGGCAUCGACGACCGAUUCGUCGAAAAAUCGGUUGAAGUUCAAGUGGGCGGAGAAGGCGACAGCCUCUAGCAAACCUCUGCAGGUGAAGAGUCUCGCGCAGAUUCAGCAAGAAGAACAGGACCGUAUCACCAAGGUAAAGCAGCAGGAAAGGGAGCGUCAGGAGAAGGCGGGCCAAAAGGAAUCGACGAACGUGCUACUGAACGCCGGUAUUUGGGGCACUGCUUCCCAGUGUCUGAACUGGACGAACUCGAGCACGGCCGGCGGCGGUGGUCCGGCAUGGUCGAACAACAUCGUUAGCAGCGGUUUCUGGGACGAUCCCACGCCCGUCAAGUCAUCAACAACCUCUAAACAACCGGCCAAGCAAGCCACAACGGCGAAGUCACCUGCUGCUAACCAGCAGCAACAAAGCAACAAGAUGAACAAGAGUAAAAGUAAGAGGGAGGAAGAGCUGGUGAAGAAACUGUUUGAACAGAACACUGCCAAGACAGACGAUUUCACGCAAUGGUGCAACAAGGCACUGAGCGGUUUACAGGUGUCCGUGGACAUACCCACGUUCGUUGGAUUCCUGCGGGAUAUCGAGUCUGCGUACGAGGUAAAGGAAUAUGUUCGAGACUACCUCGGUGAUAACAAACAGAGCUCAGAGUUCGCUAAGCAAUUCCUCGAGAAACGUAGCAAAUGGCGGUCCGCCCAGCGACCUCAGGCGCAAGCGGAUGAUCUCUGCAAACCUGCCCCUGCUGUCAAUCCAAACGCGCCCGCGGAAUUUCAGGAAGUGAAGGGGAAAUCGAAGAAGCCAAAGAAGGGAAAAAUGUACAAAGUCGAUAAUAGAAUUCUAGGCUUCAGCGUAACCGCGGCACCCGACCGCAUCAACGUUGGCGACCGUGAUUACGGUGAAGAUGUGUGAAUCCGAAUUUCCGGUACUGUUUCCGAUCCUCACCGUUGGAGAUUUUUUGCGACGCUUGGCCCGACAACUACGCAUGCAAGGAUAAUCUUGGUACCCCCGUUUCUAUCCUUUGACUCGAUCAUUAAUGGGAGCCUUAGACACCGAUUCUCUCAGCGUGGCAUUGUUUCCUCCUUAAACGAAACGGAACUGAAAAGAGGAAGAGAACUCUAUUGUAUAUAAUUUACUCAACGGAAGGAACAUACACACAUACACAUGGCGGGCACUCGCCUGCUAUCCAACGUGAUGUACACGUACAUUUCAUGUGUCACACAUACAUACAAUACACAGAGGACACACACACUUUUGUAAUAAUUCAUCGUUACUCGCCGCGGACGAAGAGUCGAUCGAUGAAAUUCUGUAUCGAUCGAAUACAUCGCAGUCGAAAGUAAUUACGUGCUAACGGGACGAAAGGACGGAAUACGACACAGGAAGGUAGACGAAAAAGAAAAAAAAAACGAUUUGUUAAAUGUGCGUGCGUCGGUUGUUGAACUAUUUACGAGCGCGCCAAAAUUGAUGGCAUAUGUGAAUCCUAUGGAUUUCUUGAUUUUAUCGCGACAUCACCCAACCUAUUUGUCCUGUGUUCGAUACGUUGAAAGUUUCCAAUUCACGAAGAGACAUUGAAGAAAAAAAAGGAAAUGAUAUUUUGACUGAACGACUACUAAAAAGAAACAAGGAACGGUUGUAUUGUUACCACAUGUGGACCCGAAUGAUUGAACACGAGAACCGAAAGAUACUUAUAGCACUGACAUCUCGAGGGAAACGAAGGAACCUCUUGUACUUUCUUAACGCUUUGGAUACCCUGACGUAAAGAAGAGAAAGAAAACUUAAUAAUAAUAACAGUACUUGCAUGUUGUACGAUUUUUUAACAGCGAAACGAAUUGUAUCUUCCAUUUUUCCCGUUUUUUGCACCCGGACCGAAAGGGGAAGAGUAUGAAAGUAAGCUCGUGUGUAAUCCUGCGGAACUUUAUAAUAAUAGCACACAAGGAACUUCCGGUUUUUAUCACCACCGGCGGCAUAUCCUUCUUCUGAGAGACACUGGAGAUCGAUCCGAAUCAAUUAAAACGAAGAAUUCGACGUAAGAUUUAAGUAAUGCAAUAUUGUAAUAAUUUCACAGAGAAAGGAAGAACCAGUAUCUUUUGUAAAGUUUUAAAUGUAAGUGUACAUGUCGUGGGGAGAGAAUUUUAGCAAGCUUAUCGGAGAUACACACUCACCUUUUGUUUUUUUUUCUUCUUUCCUCUCUUGUUUCGUUUUUCCUUUCUAAUCGGACUUGAAAACUACUUGAAUUGAAGAAAAGAAAAGAACGAAACGGCAGGACAUAAUCUGUUCGUAACCCGCGAAGAAUAUUACGACAGACCCGACCGUUUUUUUUUUUAAUAAUUAUAAUGGUUGUUGAUUAAGGUUCGUUGAUCUUCUUUUAGUACGCGUGCGAUUAUGAAAGCAAGCGGUAUACUUAGGGGAAGACCACAGAGCCUUGAGUGAAAGAUUUAUGUAUAAAUAGAUAAAUGUACAGUAAAUACGAGGAUAAUUAAUUAGG
rnacentral:misc_RNA from 1 species